rnacentral:tRNA from 1 species
GGAGAGGUCGCAUAGUGGACUAGUGCACACGCUUGGAAAGCGUGCGUGCCGGCAACGGUACCGAGGGUUCGAAUCCCUCCCUCUCCG